CAGUGACACUCAGUGACGACAGAAACGCGUUGGCAAAGUGACAGAUGCGCUUGAUCAGCUGUUGCUCAGCUGUUGCUCAGCUGUUACUCAUCUGGCAAAAGGCUUGUAAGGUUACAAGUUUAUCGAGAUUGGACGCGAUAAUUUCAUAUUUAUGAGCAAAACCCAGGAACCAACCAAAAUACCAGUGAGAAAAUGAAGCAAGUGAACCGUUACUCGAUGUCUGUUGAAUCAGGCAUCAAUUAUGGAUACAGAAAUCACAGCAGGAACCGAGAAAUGAUGUCGUCGUCAAAUCGAUCCAUCGCUUUUGGAAGGACGUGUGUCGGUAUCAAUUUCGUAGCAAAUCGAAAAUCUUAUUUUGACAUUUCUUACGAGUAUCAGCCCAUCAGGUUCAAUAACACGUCGACCAGUUUACCAGCGCACAGGAAUUUCUUUCAACGCAACUCUUUGGAUGGCCGUCCACGUUGGAACUCUUCCACUCACACUGGCAGCCGUGACGCCCUCUACUAUUUUCCUGAAAGAUUGAAAUCCAUUUCAAAUAAAUCACCACUCUUGGCCAAUGAAAAGCGUUUAGAAUCGCCACGACCCAUCCGAUCGACAUAUCUCGGUUACACCAAUGCCGGAAAUGUGUCUGGCGCUGGAUCAGAAUUUUUCGGCCGACCUCCUGCCGGUUUGCCGAACCCAAAAUCCAACAACAACUCUGUGGCCAACUGUUUGAAUUGGGAUUUAAUGGCGCC
rnacentral:misc_RNA from 1 species